rnacentral:rRNA from 1 species
GACGAACGCUGGCGGCGUGCCUAAUACAUGCAAGUCGAGCGAAUGGAUUAAGAGCUUGCUCUUAUGAAGUUAGCGGCGGACGGGUGAGUAACACGUGGGUAACCUGCCCAUAAGACUGGGAUAACUCCGGGAAACCGGGGCUAAUACCGGAUAACAUUUUGAGCCGCAUGGUUCGAAAUUGAAAGGCGGCUGCGGCUGUCACUUAUGGAUGGACCAGCGUCGCAUUAGCCAGUUGGUGAGGUAACGGCUCACCAAGGCAACGAUGCGUAGCCGACCUGAGAGGGUGAUCGGCCACACUGGGACUGAGACACGGCCCAGACUCCUACGGGAGGCAGCAGUAGGGAAUCUUCCGAAAUGGACGAAAGUCUGACGGAGCAACGCCGCGUGAGUGAUGAAGGCUUUCGGGUCGUAAAACUCUGUUGUUAGGGAAGAACAAGUGCUAGUUGAAUAAGCUGGCACCUUGACGGUACCUAACCAGAAAGCCACGGCUAACUACGUGCCAGCCGCCGCCGUAA